AGAGUUUGAUCCUGGCUCAGAUUGAACGCUGGCGGCAUGCCUUACACAUGCAAGUCGAACGGCAGCACGGACUUCGGUCUGGUGGCGAGUGGCGAACGGGUGAGUAAUAUAUCGGAACAUACCCUAGAGUGGGGGAUAACGUAGCGAAAGUUACGCUAAUACCGCAUACGAACUAAGGUUGAAAGUGGGGGAUCGCAAGACCUCAUGCUCAUGGAGUGGCCGAUAUCUGAUUAGCUAGUUGGUGAGGUAAAGGCUCACCAAGGCGACAAUCAGUAGCUGUUUUGAGAAAAAACCAGCCCCACUGGAAUUGAGACACGGUCCAACUCCUACGGGGGGAACAUGGGGAAUUUUGGACA
rnacentral:rRNA from 1 species